rnacentral:rRNA from 1 species
UGCGUAGGCGGUUCGGUAAGUCUUGUGUGAAAUCUUCGGGCUCAACUCGAAGUCUGCGCGAGAAACUGCCGGGCUUGAGUGUGGGAGAGGUGAGUGGAAUUUCCGGUGUAGCGGUGAAAUGCGUAGAUAUCGGAAGGAACACCUGUGGCGAAAGCGGCUCACUGGACCACAACUGACGCUGAGGCACGAAAGCUAGGGGAGCAAACAGGAUUAGAUACCCUGGUAGUCCUAGCCCUAAACGAUGAUCGCUUGGUGUGACGGGUACCCAAUCCCGCCGUGCCGAAGCUAACGCGUUAAGCGAUCCGCCUGGGGAGUACGGUCGCAAGGCUGAA